AUGGCCAUGGCGACGGCGACGGCGACGAUGAUGGUUGGGGACAUCACCAGCGACGACGCAGCAACACAGCAAACGACGCCGGCGAGGCCACCGAUGUCGGAGACGGAGACGACACCGGUGAUGGAAGCAGCCACGGCAAGGGCAACCGCGACGAGAUGCGGCUAUGUACCGUCCCUUGGCCUGACCGGCGACGGCGACGGCAACGACACCGUCGACGAGGACAUCACCAACAACGACAAACAUAUGCAGCUAUCUUCCCUUGGCCUGGCCAGCUACUGCGACGGGGAUCGUGACGGCAUCGCCGAUGGGCGACAUCACCGGCGAUGA
rnacentral:rRNA from 1 species